rnacentral:rRNA from 1 species
GAUGAACGCUGGCGGCGUGCUUAACACAUGCAAGUCGAACGGAAAGGCUCCUGCUUGCAGCGGUACUCGAGUGGCGAACGGGUGAGUAACACGUGGGUGAUCUGCCCUGCACUUCGGGAUAAGCCUGGGAAACUGGGUCUAAUACCGGAUCGGUCGAUGGUUUGGAUGCCCUUGUGGAAAGUUUUUCGGUGUGGGAUGAGCUCGCGGGCUAUCAGCUUGUUGGUGGGGUAAUGGCCUACCAAGGCGUCGCCGGGUAGCCGGCCUGAGAGGGUGUACGGCCACAGUGGGACUGAGAUACGGGCGGGACUCCUACGGGAGGCAGCAGUAGGGAAUAUUGCACAAUGGACGCAAGCCUGAUGCAGCAACGCCGCGUGGGGGAUGACGGCCUGCUUGUUGUAGACUCCUUUCGCUAGGAACGCAGCGCAAGUGACGGUACCUGAAGAAGAAGCACCGGCUAACUACGUG